GCCACCGAAAGGUGGUCUAAUACCUUAUAGUAUCCAUCUCGUAUGGAUUAAAGCUUUAUGCGCUUUGGGAGGGGCCUGCGUUUGAUUAGCUAGUUGGUGAGGUAAAAGCUCACCAAGGCGACGAUCAAUAGCUGGUUUGAGAGGAUGACCAGCCACACUGGGACUGAGAUACGGCCCAGACUCCUACGGGAGGCAGCAGUAAGGAAUCUUCCACAAUGGGGGCAACCCUGAUGGAGCAAUACCGCGUGCAGGAUGAAGCGUUUCGGCGUGUAAACUGCUUUUAUCACCGAAGAUUAUGACUGUAGGUGAAGAAUAAGGACCGGCUAACUACGUG
rnacentral:rRNA from 1 species